rnacentral:rRNA from 1 species
UCCACAGACCACGCCACCCAGAACGCGCCCAUCUCGUCUGAUCGGGGCAGCUAAGUGGGGUCAGGCCUGGUGGGUACUUGGAAGGGAGCAUACACCACAGGUAGUCUGAC